rnacentral:rRNA from 1 species
AGCGAACGCUGGCGGCAGGCCUAACACAUGCAAGUCGAGCGCCCCGCAAGGGGAGCGGCAGACGGGAGAGUAACACGUGGGAACGUACCCUUCGGUUCGGAACAACCCAGGGAAACUUGGGCUAAUACCGGAUACGUCCGAAAGGAGAAAGAUUUAUCGCCGAGGGAUCGGCCCGCGUCUGAUUAGCUAGUUGGUGGGGUAACGGCCCACCAAGGCGACGAUCAGUAGCUGGUCUGAGAGGAUGAUCAGCCUCACUGGGACUGAGACACGGCCCAGACUCCUACGGGAGGCAGCAGUGGGGAAUAUUGGACAAUGGGCGCAAGCCUGAUCCAGCCAUGCCGCGUGGGUGAUGAAGGCCCUAGGGUUGUAAAGCCCUUUCGGCGGGGAAGAUAAUGACGGUACCCGCAGAAGAAGCCCCGGCUAACUUCGUGCCAGCAGCCGCGGUAAGAC